rnacentral:rRNA from 1 species
UACGGGGGGGGCAAGCGUUGUUCGGAAUUACUGGGCGUAAAGGGCUCGUAGGCGGCCAACUAAGUCAGACGUGAAAUUCCUCGGCUUAACCGGGGAACUGCAUCUGAUACUGGAUGGCUUGAGUUUGGGAGAGGGAUGUGGAAUUCCAGGUGUAGCGGUGAAAUGCGUAGAUAUCUGGAGGAACACCGGUGGCGAAGGCGGCAUCCUGGACCGACACUGACGCUGAUGAGCGAAAGCCAGGGGAGCAAACGGG